CCUACGGGUGGCAGCAGUAGGGAAUUUUGCUCAAUGGGGGAAACCCUGAAGCAGCAACGCCGCGUGGAGGAUGAAGGUUUUCGGAUCGUAAACUCCUUUUGUUAGAGAAGAUAAUGACGGUAUCUAACGAAUAAUCACCUGCUAACUCCGUGCCAGCCGCCGCGGUAAUACGGAGGGUGCAAGCGUUACUCGGAAUCACUGGGCGUAAAGAUCGCGUAGGCGGGAUAGCAAGUCAGAUGUGAAAUCCUAGGGCUUAACCAUAGAACUGCAUUUGAAACUGUUAUUCUAGAGUAUUGGAGAGGUAGGUAGAAUUCUUGGUGGAGGGGUAAAAUCCGUAGAGAUCAAGAGGAAUACUCAUUGCGAAGGCGACAUGCUAGAACAUAACUGACGCUGAUGCGCGAAAGCGUGGGGAGCAAACAGGAUUAGAUACCCGAGUAGUC
rnacentral:rRNA from 1 species